GAAGGGGUGGGGGUGUAUUCUCACCAUUGAAAUUCACAAAUAAGGGCAUGUACCAUUCAGUAGUCUACAUUGAAAGUUAGUUCAGAGUACAUUUCGUUUUACAAUAUUAUAAUUAUAUGACCUACCUAAUAACUUGUCUUUUAGCUGCUCCGCUUCUACCCAGACAGCACGUUCAGUCUUGCCGACGUCGGCAAUUGGAGGGCACCAGCGGCAAAGGAUCGGCAGGGUUUUUUCCCCAUGCACAUCAAAUAAAACUUGUCAGUUUAGGUGGGCAAAUCAUCGGCGGGACGAGUCUACCCGACAGCGCACAUUGGAGAUCGGCGGAGGAACCGUGAAGAACCAUUUAGCCGAUCCCGCUUCUUUUUUUUUUUAAAUGCUGCCUGCUGCCGACGAGUAUGAGAAGUCCGUUCGUUGGUCCACGUCAAGCUGGCUGUGUAAGCACGAAGUGCCACAAGAUGAUUGGCAGCAAGAGUCAACCAGUGAUGAAGGGAUGCGCUCAACUGAAUACAAGUGUCUGUGAACACAAACAUGCAGCAGAGUCGUGAAACCCCUCAAUCCCGUCCAGGCCUUCCAAACAGGACUCCUCUAAUGUCUGUGAACACACACGCAGCAUGGUUGUGAAACCCUUCAAUCCCAUCCAGGCCUUCCACACAGGACCCCUCUAACUGUUGAAAGGCUGAGCAGGUUGGACUCCAGCUGAAAAUGGACUAUGUAAAACAACUCCAAAAAACAAUGCACAAUACACCUUCAUUUUGACAAUAGGCCUAUUUCAUAUUUUAUAGCUGAUUCUGGUUAUUUUCCAAUAAUCUUCUUUACACUAGAUUUAAAUGUAAUGUAAAUUAAUGACAUAUCUAGCUUCUGUUUAAUACAAACAUAACAGCUGCAUGUACGCUAUACUGGCCAUCCCCAAACUUCCCAAGUUGGGAGCAUGGAAUUGUCCAUAAUCACGUCUGCAGUCGUCUACAUUAAGUCGAACCCACCUAUUGAUUGACUGACUGACUGACUGGCUGUUUUAUUUUAAACUGACAGACUAUUUGAAGGGAUUUGUUAUUUUUGUUGUAUUUGUCAAUGCGAUUAGGUGAGUGUUGAAAUAAAUGUGAAUUAAAUAAAUGAGUUGAGUAUUGAAAUAAAUGUUUUGAUAUUUUGCAAAGACCAAGUAAAAUAAAUGUCCAAGGUCAUCUCCAGAUG